CCUCCUACGGGAGGCAGCAGUGAGGAAUAUUGGUCAAUGGGCGCGAGCCUGAACCAGCCAAGUAGCGUGAAGGAUGACUGCCUUACGGGUUGUAAACUUCUUUUAUAAAGGAAUAAAGUGAGGCACGUGUGCCUUUUUGUAUGUACUUUAUGAAUUAGGAUCGGCUAACUCCGUGCCAGCAGCCGCGGUAAUACGGAGGAUCCGAGCGUUAUCCGGAUUUAUUGGGUUUAAAGGGAGUGCAGGCGGGCCGC
rnacentral:rRNA from 1 species